rnacentral:rRNA from 1 species
UACGUAGGUGACCAGCGUUGUCCGGAUUUACUGGGCGUAAAGCGUGCGCAGGCGGUUCGUUGUGUCGGCGGUGAAAGCCCCGGGCUCAACCUGGGAAUGGCCAUGGAAACUGGCGAACUGGAGUGUGGCAGAGGGGGGUGGAAUUCCGCGUGUAGCAGUGAAAUGCGUAGAGAUGCGGAGGAACACCGAUGGCGAAGGCAGCCCCCUGGGCUAGCACUGACGCUCAGGCACGAAAGCGUGGGGAGCAAACAGG